CGGCUAUCCUCGGGGGGCCGCGCGCAAGCGGCUGAGAGGUGGGUGAGCCCACGACCCGUCGAACCUGAUCCGGGUCAUGCCGGCGAAGGGAAGGGCCUUUUCACCCCG
rfam:Phenylobacterium sp. RIFCSPHIGHO2_01_FTLL_69_31 rifcsphigho2_01_scaffold_1062, whole genome shotgun sequence.